GGGGUGUGGAGGUCGGAUUCUGAGGACCGAGCAAAGAUUGAGAAAUGACCACACUGCAGCAUACGGAGCACAAUGCCAGAGAACAGCGUGAAGGGCACACCAAACAAACCAGCGGAGAAUCCAUAUGAACUAUUAGAGCCCUCCCUUGAUAAGCUUUUAUUGCUAUGAUCCAGGAUAGAUUUGGGAUCCAAUAGAAGCAACUGUACCCAUGGACUGCACAUCGAUGUUCGAGGAGGUCGUGAUCUGUCCCUUAGCCUGCCUGUUUCCACUGAAGAGACAAAACACAUGCCAGAAACUGGCUUACAACCAUGUUUGGCAGAACAAGAAGCCCAUCCUGCACAUGGUCACUCCAGAGCCACAGAAAGUACGAGAGAGAAUGAAAACAUGAAGCUGAAGAGAGCUUGUUUGCGACACCAAGGCAGAGACGCAGUUUGCUGAGAAAACCGAACUGACAGGAUGAUGAGAUAGGCUGGAUUACUACUAGGCUCCCUGUUUCACUGCAGGAUGACUCUUGCACUGGCUUGACAGAUUUUUAUCAAAAGCUGAUAUCUAGGGACUGGUGGGGAGGGUGGGGUUUAGUUGAUAAAGCACUUGUCAUCAGAGAGUGAGGACUGAAUUGGGUCCCAGCUCCUAUAUAAAAACCAGGCAUGGAUACAUACAUUUUGUAACUCCAGUACUGGAAAAACAGUAACAAGAGGGUUCCCUUGAUCCCACUGGCCAGACAGGUUAGUCUAAUUGGUGAGUUCAGGUUCAGGAAGGAACAGACACAGACACACAGGGACACAGGGACACACACACACACACACACACACACACACACACACACACGCUAACACAUAUGCAUGUACACACAUGUACCCAAUCUAAUACUGCUCAUUAUUUUCUUAUCCAUGCACACUACUGGAACUGGAAUGAACAAGUCUUCUUUUCUAUGUCUCCUUUUCAAGAGAAACCAGGACUUAAGUAUGGCAGGAAAUGAGUUCAGAAUGACCUUGUCUGCAAUGCAGCCUCAGAGGAUGAGCAGUGGGCCUGUAAUUGAGCCUCCUAAGGGCACGUCUUCCUAAGCAGAUACUCAUCCUCAAUGUGGCUGAGAUAGAGACCUUCUGCACAUGUUUGUGUUUCUCCUUAGAUGUCCCUAACUUCCUUGAUGAUUAUUUCUGUAAUAUACAAUUAAUAUGCACGGGAGGUGGCAGGGAAGAUUAUGCAGUGACUCACUUACUGAGAUAAAGGAUUGUUUUAUCUUCCAAGUUUUUAUAGAUAAUUCAUUUCACGGCUAUGAAAGAUACUUUUUAUGCUGUUCAGGACUUUCUAUUUAUACCUUUACUCUGAAAAAAAAAAGCCCUUUUUUUUCCAUGCCAUCUGUAGGGAAAGAUGUAAGGGUUCUUUUAAAAAUACUUAAACUGAUGCUAUUUUCUGGUUUAGAAUUGUUCAAUAAAGUUUUUAGUUUGACCGGGACCCAAACAUACUUUUGCAGGUCCCAUUGAAA